rnacentral:rRNA from 1 species
GAUCCUGGCUCAGGACGAACGCUGGCGGCGUGCUUAACACAUGCAAGUCGAACGAGAAUCUGUGGAAAGAGGAUUCGUCCAAUUGAAACAGAGGACAGUGGCGGACGGGUGAGUAACGCGUGAGGAACCUGCCUUUCAGAGGGGGACAACAGUUGGAAACGACUGCUAAUACCGCAUAACACAUUGAGGUCGCAUGGCCUUAAUGUCAAAGAUUUAUCGCUGAAAGAUGGCCUCGCGU